ensembl:lncRNA
CCCCCUACGACCAGGUAGCCCUGCUGCACGCCGACGGUCCAUCUGAGAACAUACAGAAGAUGGUUAAACAACAAGUACAGUGAAGACAGUCAUUGAAACAACGCCAGUUACAAAGAUCAGAACUCUGCUUGGCUAACAGGCAAUGAUUAAUGACAGCUGUCUCAAGGGGUCAGAAACGUCAAGAUUUAGUCACAUUCCAUAAGUUGACACGUUUAGUAUUACUGGCAGCAUACAAAGCAUUCAUAUUCAGCUGUCUCAAGGGGUCAGAAACGUCAAGAUUUAGUCACAUUCCAUAAGUUGACACGUUUAGUAUUACUGGCAGCAUACAAAGCAUUCAUAUUCAGGUGUCUCGCCAAAUAGGUCUCAGAUAAUUUGGUUGAGGAUAUCCAUCACACGUUCAGCGUGGUGCAUGAUUUCUCAUCACAGACCCAUGUCAUGUAGACUGAAUUAACCCGGCUGCCUACUGCUUACCAUUAGGUGGGGAAGGCCAUCCAUCCAUCCGACAAGGAGCCAUCCCUUCUUUUAUUCAUAUGCUUAGACAGUGGGACCCCAAUCAGAUUUGAGUGGAAUCCAAUACCUUGCUGAUCACUUCGCAAAGGGAGCGCUAUAAAGAAACCAUUAAAAAGGUGUAACGAGUUAGAGACCAGUCAUCAUCUACUCCAAUUAGAUUUCAUAAAUGUUGCUCUUGUCGAGCCAUGAUCACCCCAAGCCCCCACUGUUCUGGGUCCUUGGUGUAAACAUGACCCUUUCACUCUCCGCCCCUCAUGACACAGGUUCAACACGUACAGUCGGACUGCAACGCCUCGAGGGGCAGAUUGGUAGAACAUUCUACAUGUAGGCAGGUUUCCCCGGAGGACAGCCUCACCAUGGCAUGAUGCUCCAGGUUACCCCCCUACGACAAGGUAGCCCUGCUGCACGCCGACGGUCCAUCUGAGAACAUACAGAAGAUGGUUAAACAACAAGUACAGUGAAGACAGUCAUUGAAACACAACGCCAGUUACACAGCACCAUUUGUUAACAUGUUAGAUAGAAACUAGCCUUUAUCUGGCCCGGUUCCAUACUCGCUGCCCACUGAACAGGACAAGCGAGCCAUCGUGGGUCAGUUUCUGUCUGCCCGCUUAAUGCAAAACAGUGACAUUGGAGUCAGUUAUGUCUCAAGGGGCAAGAAACACCAAGAGAUACUAUUAGAAUUUUUUUCCCAAAAGACAAACAAGACAUUUAAUACUACUACAGUCAAAAUAGAAAGCAAUCAAAACAGCCAAAAGAACACUGAUAUUCAAGUGUCUGGCUACACUGGUCCCAGAUAAUUUGGUAGUGGAUAUCGCAUGAUUUCAUCCAAGAACUCAUUUAAAAGGCUGCCUGUUGCUUACCAUCAAAAGUUCCUGCCAUUCUUCAAGAAAGGCAGCCAUCAUCCUUCUUCCAUUCAUCACUUCAUGGGGCACCAGAUUACAGUGGUAUCAAAUAUUCUCCAACAAAGACAAAAGUGGGAAAACUAGAGAGAGAAAAUUAGAGCUAUUAGCUAAGAUCUGUCAAUUUACUGUUAUUUAAUUGCAUAAAACGUCACAUCAGAGCUAAGAUCACUUGGAACAGUUCUGGGUCAUUGGGAGCACAUAUGGCCCAAUCAUGUCACCCCUUAACAGACAGGUUUAACAGUCAGACAGCAAGCCCUGGAGAAGCUGCUUGGCAGGAAACCAAACAGUAAUAGUGUACAAAUAGCGAACUACAAGAAAUGGAACCAAUGUGGCCUUUUGUAUUAUCACCAAGGGUUGUUCAUUACACCACCCACUUCUCCGCUCCUUACCGUUAAAACUAGUCUUAAUUAAAACCCCUCCUUAACAGAUGAAUCGCCAUAUAAAUCUAGUUUAACCAGAAGAUCUCUCGCUGGCACUGAAACGCCAUGGCUUUUAGGUUAAUCGCCGUGUGCCGUGGUUUCGCACCUACGUUACCUCAUGUUGCUUAUGCUAAGAACGUGUUACAACUAUUAGUAGUGCUUCGAUAGAUAUAUCAAUAGCAUUAAUUCUUAAUACAACGCAAUUAAACUUUAUUACAGCAGGCUGUCACAGGAUGAGGAAUUAUAUGGGAAAAAAUAAAAGAACCAACUGUCUGUACAGUAACAAACGUUCCACGAGGUUGUAACACGCAUUCGAUCACAGUUAGUGGGAAAAAAUAUAAAAUGAAAAUGGCUACAACGCAUCAAACACCCAACAUUAAAACACCCUCAAUAUAUUUAAAAUAAACGCAUCACGUGCAUUAAAAGUCUUUGCGCAAAGAGAACUGAAACAAAUAACACAGCACACUCACCCCCGA